rnacentral:rRNA from 1 species
UACAGAGGUCUCAAGCGUUGUUCGGAUUCAUUGGGCGUAAAGGGUGACGGUAGGCGGCGCGGUAAGUCGGGUGUGAAAUCUCGGAGCUUAACUCCGAAACUGCAUUCGAUACUGCCGUGCUUGAGGACUGGAGAGGAGACUGGAAUUUACGGUGUAGCGGUGAAAUGCGUAGAUAUCGUAAGGAAGACCAGUGGCGAAGGCGGGUCUCUGGACAGUUCCUGACGCUGAGGCACGAAGGUCAGGGGAGCAAACGGG